UGGGGAAUAUUGCGCAAUGGAGGCAACUCUGACGCAGCCAUGCCGCGUGUGUGAAGAAGGCCCUCGGGUUGUAAAGCACUUUCAAUUGGGAGAAAAAGCUUGUCGUUAAUAGCGGCAAGCCUUGAUGUUACCUUUUAGAAGAAGCACCGGCUAACUCCGUGCCAGCAGCCGCGGUAAUACGGAGGGUGCGAGCGUUAAUCGGAAUUACUGGGCGUAAAGCGCGCGUAGGCGGUUGCUUAAGUCGGAUGUGAAAGCCCCGGGCUCAACCUGGGAACUGCAUUCGAUACUGGGCGACUAGAGUACGAGAGAGGGAGGUAGAAUUCCACGUGUAGCGGUGAAAUGCGUAGAUAUGUGGAGGAAGUACCGGUGGCGAAGGCGGCCUCCUGGCUCGAUACUGACGCUGAGGUGCGAAAA
rnacentral:rRNA from 1 species